rnacentral:rRNA from 1 species
UACGAAGGGGGCUAGAGUUGCUCGGAAUCACUGGGCGUAAAGCGCACGUAGGCGGAUUGUUAAGUCAGGGGUGAAAUCCUGGAGCUCAACUCCAGAACUGCCUUUGAUACUGGCGAUCUCGAGUCCGGGAGAGGUGAGUGGAACUGCGAGUGUAGAGGUGAAAUUCGUAGAUAUUCGCAAGAACACCAGUGGCGAAGGCGGCUCACUGGCCCGGUACUGACGCUGAGGUGCGAAAGCGUGGGGAGCAAACAGG